rnacentral:lncRNA from 1 species
UAAAAAAAUAUUUAAAAAAUUUAGGAGCUAAAUGCACUCCUGUAUUUUCCAAAAUAAUCCAUUCAACACAGAUAAUGUAUAGAGCUAAAUGCACUCCAUACACAAUAUAUGUCACUUAGUGUGUUCCAUACAAAUUUAAUAUUUCUAAAAAUAGACGUGCCAAAUUCCUUGAAACGUGAGAACUAAACCCGCUGCCACCAUUGUCGUAAUUUCUGCUUCUCGCUAUGUUUUGAUAUAGUUAUAAAGCCAGCAAAUACGAAUAUCUCAUAAAACUAGUAAAUGCACGGGGUAAUAAAUAAAUACGGACGUCAAAUCUGUUGUCUGUUCUCUCUCAUCAUUGGUAGCGUGAAUAACUAGUCAAUAGUAAAA